rnacentral:rRNA from 1 species
AUACGUAGGGUGCAAGCGUUAAUCGGAAUUACUGGGCGUAAAGCGUGCGCAGGCGGUUUUGUAAGACAGGGGUGUAAUCCCCGGGCUCAACCUGGGGACUGCCAUUGUGACUGCACGGCUGGCGUGCGGCAGAGGGGGAGGGAAUUCCGCGUGUAGCAGUGAAAUGCGUAGAUAUGCGGAGGAACACCGAUGGCGAAGGCAAUCCCCUGGGCCUGCACUGACGCUCAUGCACGAAAGCGUGGGGAGCAAACAGGAUUAGAUACCCUGGUAGUCCACGCCCUAAACGAUGUCAACUGGUUGUUGGGGAUUUAUUUUCUCAGUAACGAAGCUAACGCGUGAAGUUGACCGCCUGGGGAGUACGGCCGCAAGGUUAAAACUCAAAGGAAUCGACGGGG